GUUCUCCGCUGAGGAGGAGCGGGGCAGAGGAGGGAGGCAGCGGGUGAGAGUUCAGAGUUCAGCAGCAGCAGCCCGAGCCCAUGAUUCCCAUAUGCCCUGUAGUUUCUUUCACCUAUGUGCCCAGCCGGCUGGGGGAAGAUGCCAAAAUGGCGACCGGCAACUACUUUGGAUUCACCCACAGCGGGGCGGCGGCGGCGGCGGCUGCGGCCCAAUAUAGCCAGCAGCCAGCUUCGGGUGUAGCCUAUUCUCAUCCAACUACAGUUGCUAGCUACACUGUCCAUCAGGCUCCAGUAGCUGCUCACACAGUUACUGCUGCCUAUGCACCAGCAGCCGCCACAGUUGCAGUUGCCAGGCCUGCUCCAGUAGCUGUUGCAGCUGCUGCAACAGCUGCUGCUUAUGGAGGCUACCCCACUGCACACACGGCAACUGACUAUGGUUAUACUCAGAGGCAACAAGAAGCACCACCACCACCACCCCGAUUCAUACUCAUAUGUAAGGUCCACAGCUCCUGCUGUAGCUUAUGAUAGUAAGCAAUACUACCAACAACCAACAGCAACUGCUGCUGCUGUAGCUGCCGCUGCCCAACCUCAGCCUUCUGUUGCUGAAACUUACUAUCAGACAGCCCCCAAAGCAGGUUACAGCCAAGGUGCAACUCAGUAUACUCAAGCCCAGCAAACUCGACAAGUGACAGCCAUAAAACCAGCCACACCAAGUCCAGCUACCACUACUUUCUCCAUCUAUCCUGUAUCCUCCACCGUACAGCCAGUAGCAGCUGCGGCUACUGUGGUGCCAUCCUAUACUCAGAGUGCUACUUACAGUACCACAGCAGUUACUUAUUCUGGUACGUCUUAUUCAGGUUAUGAAGCAGCAGUGUAUUCAGCUGCAUCUUCCUACUAUCAACAGCAGCAGCAGCAACAGAAGCAGGCAGCAGCAGCAGCUGCUGCUGCUGCUGCAACAGCUGCCUGGACAGGGACCACCUUUACUAAAAAAGCACCAUUCCAAAAUAAACAACUGAAACCAAAACAGCCUCCCAAACCGCCACAGAUUCACUAUUGUGAUGUUUGUAAGAUCAGCUGUGCUGGACCACAGGUACUUAUGUUGUAUGUUUUACCUUGAGUCUUCAGUGGUUAUUAAGU
rnacentral:sRNA from 1 species